CUAUUAUAGUUGCUUGGGCUUUCUCACCUUCAAACUUGUGGACGACAUCUUUGGGCUAGAAAUCCUUUCUUGCUGAGGCUUUCCUGUGCAUUGUAAAUGUUUUGAAAUUUCCCUGUGCUCUCUCCACUAGAUGUCAGUAGUACCUUCUCCCAAAGUGUGACAACCGAAAAAUGUCUGCAGACCUCGUCAAAAGUCUUUGGAAUACAAAGUCAUACUGGUUGAGGACCACUGCGUUAGCCUAAGCCGCUAUGAUGUACAUCUGAUCUGUUACCAUAGACUCUUCACUGUCCCCUCCCUGGCUUGCCUCUCUAUUCAUCUGUCCCUCCAGUAUGAAUUUGCUCCUCACAAGAUGUGAACCCUGAGGCACAGAGUCCAAAUGUGGGUUCCAGGGAAACUAAAAGCAGGUGAUAAGAGACUAAACAAGCGGAGCUUGGGUUGGCCUAAGAGCCAGGAAGAGACUUCUCUGAGGAAGGUGCCUGAAAGAGCAGCUGGAGAUCACUGAAAGUAAAGGGAAAAGACUAUUGCAGAAUUAGAGACAAGAGAGAAAAGAGCCAGCAGGAAGAUAGAACACAAAGAGAACAAAACCAAGGAAGUGUUCAAAGAACCCGCUGAAUACACUGCACAUCUCAACCACAGAAAUAUU